rnacentral:rRNA from 1 species
UUUUAUGGAGAGUUUGAUCCUGGCUCAGGAUGAACGCUGGCGGCGUGCCUAAUACAUGCAAGUCGAGCGAACAGACGAGGAGCUUGCUCCUUUGACGUUAGCGGCGGACGGGUGAGUAACACGUGGAUAACCUACCUAUAAGACUGGGAUAACUUCGGGAAACCGGAGCUAAUACCGGAUAACAUGUUGAAC